CCCCAGCAGAGUAGGAGGGGCCGCUGGCUCAGCUCAGAGCAGAGGAGUUAGAUCCCCGGGCCCCCAGAGACAAGUCGACAGAAUGAGACAUCGCCGUUUCCCAAAGACACGCAGCAGUGAAGAUUCUCGUUCAGAAGGCCCUGCAAAAUCAAAAAGGAAAAAAGAGACAUCGCGCCCCUCCCCUCGCCACCAUGUCUGUCCCCCUGGUUCUGCCAGAACUCCACCGGCUUGCCAAGAGCCACCCAGGAACAGAUUUCCUGUCUCGUCUGCUGCAUCUGGUGGUCCACUCCU